CUCCCCUUGGUGCAGUUGGUUCAGCGCGUUCGACUGUAAAUCGAAAGGUCCCUCGUUCGAUCCGAGGAGGGGAGA
rnacentral:tRNA from 1 species